CUUGCCGCUUCCUCCAGCCCGCCCGAGCCACGACGUCACGCGCGUAACCUGGAAGUGCCCCGCGUUGGAGCCGGGCGGGUGUUGGCGGGCUGCGCGGCGUGCUGCCUUACCGCCCUCUGGUGCCCUGUGGAGACUGGGACCUGCGGGCGGCUGUCGUGCUGAGAGAGGGAAGAAGAGGGCGGGAGAGCUGUUGCUGGGGUGGUUAUCAGACUGUGGAGGAGGUUUGGCCUGGGAGCAGAGACGUUUACUCAUCGGUGCCGCAUUGAUAGCAGCCCUUGGAGGAUUGCUCUGUGCGUUGGUUUGUAAAUCCAACUUCUCAGCACCGUUUGGUACCAAGUGCCUUAAUGAAAUCCAGGUAAAAGAUCAAAUUUUAAUCCCUUCAAACGAUCUUAUUUCUCUGCCAAAAUUGAAAUCAAGAAUUAAUAUCUGAACAUGGAGUUAUCAAGGAAAAUCCUCUUUCUUGUGACUGUACCAAGCUCAAAACAACACGUCCCUUUCAUCAGAAGUGACCUUCUGUACGAAUCCUUCUCUAGAGGUGUCUGCAGGCAGCUUCCCCCGCUUCCUUCACAGCCACAGAUGCGCCUUUAAGCCACGCAGUGCUGUCACUCAGGCUGCCCCGCAGUGUCACUUACCGGCGUCACCACAGAGGGGGAGCAGCACACCGCAGGUUGGCCCAGGAUACGUGCAGAGACGUGCUGCUGCAGGGUGGUGGUUUUAGGAUCCUUCGGGCUUCUUCACAGCAGAGAGGAUCCCACUGAUGGGGAUGCAGGGUGGCCCUGGGGGCUAUCUGCUGUGGUCACUGACAAGCAGUUCCUUGAGCAACAAGGACUCAAUCAUGAGCUGAAAACCAGCAGAGUGGGGCCACCAACUCCCCCAUCCACAUCUUUGCCUUUUUAGGUUGUUGUUCUCUGCUUCAGUACCAGUAUGAAACUUUAACCUGCUCACCAGUGCUGCUGUGCUGAGUUAGCAAGAGGGGUGAAUGGUGCUAAUAGAAAGUACUCUUUACACUCUCCUCAUUUUAUGUACAUACACUUGCUGUUAUUUAUUAUAUCAUGUCACUGCUCAAAUAAGGCUGCACUACUCUGGGGUCUGUUUUUACUGUUUGGUUGCUUGGGCUAUGGCAGGUGGCACUGCAAUAUUGCAGCGCUUCAGAGGAAAGUGGGAAAGAGAAUGUGUGUGGUUGUAUGAUUGUACCAAUGAUUGUGGUCCAAGAGAAGAAUUAAAGAUGUUUAGCAAAUCCUCCUCUAAAUUUAUGGAUCCAGCUUAACACUCAAAUGCAUGAAUACAAAUCCUGUAGCUUUAUAGAGACAUCUGCCUGUGUUCAGAAGGCUAAUUUAGCUUGAUAUGUAGUACUUUUCCCUGUUGCUCCUUUAAUUAAUAACUAUAUUCACGUUCCUUACAGAGUCUUGUCAGUUUUAUUUCUAGUACGUAUUUAUCACCCAAGUGUUGAUAAUGCAUUUCCUCGGUGUCUUUUUCUCCAUGGAGUUAGCUAUCAAACCAGACAUAGCACACAUUUUAUUGCACCAGGCACCAAUGUCCCAGCCUGUUGCAAAGAUACUCCUGCUUUCUCACGCGAUGCAAGUCUCUCCAAAACUGUGUGUCAGUUGGGAUACACCAUCCUCUCACUGAAUGCAGUGAAACACAGCCCUGGUGGCUGGCAUUGAGCUGGCAGCUGUGGGCUGGAAGGUGGGAAGGAGAGAAAAGCUGCCAAGCUUGUGGCCACUGGAACCUGUCCAAGGAUAGCCAAAAGGGAUGUCAUUCUGUCUUUUUCUGAUUACAUCUUUUCCUGUUCUGAUGUUUGAUUAUCCCAUUUGUGUUUGCUUAUAGACUGAAAAUGAGUAACAUCUAAAUAGCAAAUGGAUGUAUCUUUCAUGAACAGAGCAAAAAGCUCAAAUUUUUAUUUCCUGUUCUCCUAUGGAUGCGCAUUUAGUGCUUCAGGAAUGCUGUUUGUUUCUCAGAUCCUUUAAAAUUUGCCCCAGAAGAUGGACUAUGUUUACUUUUUUUUAUUUUUAUUUAUUUAUUUUUUUCCUGAGUUAUCUGUCAUUGGCCGUGAAAUAGAGAGACCCUGAUCUGCAAAGAUCUAGAUGGACUGCAGAGGAAAGAAGCAGUAGUGGCAGGGAAGCCUGUGCUCUCAUGGUGUGGGACAGAUGUGUUCAGGCUGAUCCAGCCACUACAAAAAAGGGAUGUAUGGCUGAUGUCUCCCCAGUUACCAUGUCCUUCCCUGCAGCAAGGGAUGGUCAGACUUACUAGUACUUUUUUUCCAUCUUCCAGUGGAGCACAUUGUCCCCAGAGGACAUUAAGUGAAGCCUGUCUUUUAGGGCUUCCUCCAGCCAGCAAUUGUUCUAGAAAUUUGCUUGCCUGCAUCUUGACACUGCAAGAAGAACUCUUACAAAAAUAGCUACUUCUGUAUUAUUAAUAUGUGCUGUAUUCUCAGAAGAAAGCUCACAGAACUCUUGGAGGUGUCCAAUUCAGUAUGUCCACCAUUAUAGCAAUCCAUUCCAAAACUUCAAACCUAGGUUUUGAGUUAUAAAGGAAGGAUAACCAGACCUGAGCUUGAGAUCAACUCUUCUUCCUACUGUAACCUAUUAGUAGUAAGUCCAGAAGAAUUUUUAUUUUUAUUUUUUUUCCAGAUAAGGAUGUGUCUUUAACAAAAGAGGGCAGGGAAUGUCUUUGUGGUCUAGCUACUGUGGCCAAAAUGCUGCCUGUUGUUAUGACAUUAGAGGAAACAUGCUGUCUGCAAAGAGGAUGCAGGGCAAUGGGAGCAGUUCAGUUGCUUGCAGUGAAGCAGGUAAAAGCAAUUCUCAACAGCAGAAAGCUGCUUGGUUGUCCUCAGAGCUAGGCAGGAGAUUUACUCAAGCACACAGUCAUUAUGUAUCUGUCUGGCAAGUUUGGUGCUGGUAUGCCCUGACUGUGACUGCUGAGUCCUCAGACUGAUGGGAUUACACAAUGGUAGUUAUAAACUAACCCUAUACUGAUCAUAACCUGACCUUAUACUUGAAGUCAUCAGCCCCUUCAAAGACAUUUGUGGGCUUUUAAAAGUCUCAGUUGAAUCAGUGGAAGAUCCAACUGCCUCUUUCUCGCUCCAUGUUUCUCUUGAAUCUCAGCAUGUUGCAGAAGUAAAGGCUUCAGUGGAAAAAAUAAGAUUGACUUUACCGUAGGCUGAGAAGUAGGUCCUGGUCUGUGCAAGAUACAGAUCAGUUGAUGGUGGGGAAAGAGCUAGGAUGACCUUGGUAAGUUAUAGUGAUAUCUUACAGACAACAAAUGUUACAGGCCUGCUGUAAAAAUAUGUUUGUGUCAGUCAAGCAUGAGAUCCAUCCAACAUCCUGCUUUCAGUGCUGACCACACAUGGAUGUCCAGGAAAAGCAAGAACAGGACAAAUAUAUAUCACACCUUCAUACAAGUGUUCCUCAAGUGUCUUUCUCGAGGUUUCCUGGAUCUGAAGUGUUGGGUCUGUCUAGUGAUUCCUCUUCCAAGUGUCCACCCAGUCUCUCUUGAAUCUCAUUUGAUCUGCUCCAUCCAUAAACAUUGUUUGCAAAGCAAAGAGCUCCACACAUCUUCCAAGAUGUAUAAUGAACUAUCUUCAUCUGUUUUAUAUCAGUCUAGCUGUUACUGGCUUCACUGGAUAACUUCUAGCUCUUGUACUGGAAGAGAAAAUACACAGCAGAUUCUUAUUCAGUCCUUUUAUCCCAUUUAACAUUUCUACCAUACUCACUUUGUGCCAUCUGUCUUAAAUGCUGGAGGUGAUCCAUUACACUCCAUCCAUCAGAUGUAGCAUCGGGCAUCCCAUAAAUAUAUUAAAUGUUUCCUCAAACCAAGCUUCCAAAAAAUGCACAGAAAUGAAAGCACAAGGCAGCCUGUGAAAUAGGUACAGUAAAAGACUGAAGAAGUAAUUGUUUUGUAAAUUUGAUUCAUCCUAAACAAGGAAGCAGACAAGUGGAGAAAGAAGUAGAGAAGUGGAAGAAACAUUGUGAUUGAGUAACAAAAUAUUGCAUCAUGAUGCUUGCCUGCAGGGCUACUGAAAUAAAAUUACGGAGAGAGAUGGUACACAGCUUCAGGGAGCCUCUGGCCCCUGGCCCCUUGAAGCCCUGACACAGCCAGUCAGCAACGGCUGGGAUAAACCAUUGGCUCUGUCACAUGAUGUAGUGGAAACUCUGGGCUUAUUGUUCCCUUCAAUACGCACUGCAUCUUUGGUGACCCAUGCUUGAUAUUUUCCCCUUAACUCAGCUAGACAGAAGGACAAAAUCUUUUUCUCAGUUUCACACAGAGGAUCAAAUAGAAACAAAAUGACUUAAUGGAAUUAUCACCUCCAAAAUCUCUCAAAAAGAAAAGAAGCUUUGGAGACAUGGUAGGCAGAAAAAGCAAUACGUUUGUUGAUAUGGAAGUCAGAUAAUGAGAAACUGGUUAUUUUUCCCUCACUGACAUGGUUUACUCCUGGCAGUGUGAAAACUCUUGUUUGUCAUUUCUUUCCAAACAAGUGAGGGAAGAGAAAUGAAGAGAGGAAAUGCCCAGUAUCUGCCUUCACAGAAAACUCUGAGAAGUGAAGAAGGGUGAAGAGGGCUUAGCAGGCACCAGGGAGAAAGAAGAGCCUCACUGUGACGUGGGGACUGGUAGACAUGCUUCUCUGCCAGAAAGAUUGCACAGAUGAGACUUUGAACAAGAGAGAUUGCCCCAGACAGUAGCUUCAAGGACAGAAGUGACAUGGGCCAUCAGAUGGUAAAGCAUAUCCAGUAUAACUGCUGGAAAUACAGUCUAUGUGAGUUGCCAUCUAAUAGGCAUCUUUUUCUUUCCCUAUUUGGUGCUUCACGCCACUUGUGUGCCUGAAAUCUCAAGAAUCUCCAUGCUUUCUGAUGGAGAAACUUCCUCCUAAAGAUGGGCAUUUUGCCACAGAAACGUCACUGCUUCCCUCCUCUGCAGAAGAGCAAAAUCAACUGCUUUGAGUUCUGGGUGCCCAUAACACAAAGCACAGUGAAGUCAUUGUGCCACACAUUUCACCCAGUGCCUGAGGCCAUACCAAAGGAAAGGCUUGGACAGCAUGGGCUCCAAUCCCCACAGCCCAGAGGUGGGAUGGGUGCCAUGCCACCAGCCCACAGGGUUCCAGAACCUCCAGGAGGGUAUGGAGAAAAGAUGGAAGCAGCAAACAGCAUUGAGCUCUUCUGGAGCUGAAGCAGGACCAAAGCCCUGAAUAUCCCCUCCUUUUCUCAUUCCCCCUCUGCUGCACUGUUUGCAUAAUGUUUGAGCAUGUGAAACUUUGGGGAAAUGAAAUCAUUUCUGGUUACAACUUGCUGCUUUUUCUGCACUGGAUUUUUUUUUUAAUCCUAAAGCUGAAACAUUCCCCUGGGUGGAAAGUCCAGCUUCUUCCUGGCUGUGAAGUUUACAUAGAUACAUAAAGAAAUAUUGUUAUUUGAAAAGUGUCUUUCUGCUUUCAGUAAUUUAGAUCAUGAUGCACUGGUGGCCAUGGCAAUGGACACUUCUGGAAUUUAUGAAGUAUGGAAGGAAAACCAAAUACUUCUUGCAAAAUUAAAGAUCCUUCCCCUGUAAUUCAGCGAGCCUCAGUGCUGUGCAGGGGUUGGCAUGCCUCUUACAGUGAAGCCACCCCCAUUGCUCUACUUAACAAUGUCAAAGGCAUAUAGACCAUAAGAAACCAAGACUGUGCAGCAAAAACCCAUGUGGCUGGUGCUGCCCUGCUCAGCAAGCUGUAGGAAGCCACAGACAACAAUGAACAAUGCUUUUUUUGCAAACUGCAUAACCUUUCCUCGAUGCAUUUGCUAGGUGUGCAUUUAAGAGUCUCCUGAAGACUGCUCAGCACAUUCCCAUCCCUCAGGACCCAACCUGUCAGUUGUUUUUCUUUAAUGGCAUAGAGCUGUGCCAGGGAGCAUCUUGUUGGGUGUUAGGAAAAGUCUCUUGAUCAGGUGGCAUGGGCAUGGAAGAGGCUGGAGUUCAAGGAGCUUUUGGACAGUGCUCUGAGAUAGAGGGUUUGAAUUUUGGGUGGUACUGAAGGAGGGCUGUCCAGGCGCCGAGUGCAGUGCUGCAGGCCUGGAGGCGGGGCAGAGGAACUGGGGAGAGGGCUGAGGGACGGCUACCUGCGCGGAGGCCACACAGUGACUGCCCAGGCGUUCAUCACCCCAGAGGUGCCCCAUGCACCAGGGACGAAGCCCUUUGGCUCUCGGGACUCAGAGCAGCACGGCUUUGGAGGAAAUCCCCCAAGCGAAAACAAAGGCUCUGUAAGUCAUUUCCUCUGUGCUGAACAGAAAGACAUCUGUGCUGAUCCAGCCAUUACGCAUAGGCGAAGCAAAACAAUGCACUUGUUAGCAGCACAGACCCAGUUUGCUUUCCUCUGGACUCAUACUUUAAAACGUUUAGAGGCGUGUUUUAGCCAAAGCUUUAUCUCUUAAGAAAGUUUUGCGGACAGUUUAUAUGGAUAAAGUUGGGAUAAUGGAAGGCAGUGAGGAAAAGGGCCUGAAUGACAACUCAGCAACAAGUCACCGCAGCCGUGGCUGGUGCACAAAGCUUUGGGGUGGCUACGUGCAACCACAGCGUCCAGCCUGGGCGCUCUGCCACGGGCAUCACGCAGGACGCGCUCUGGAGCAGGUACCAACAGGACCAAAGCACACCGUCACAUUUUCAAGACGCGCACUGAAAACCGGGGUGGGACUGGCACCCUCUCUUUACAAUUCACCACCUCCUCCUCGCUUGGUUUGUUUCCCCCACGAAGCGCGCACAUCACCGAGACGCCUCCGCGCUCCUUGCACCUGCGGCAGCGCCCAG